GGGUCGGUAACGCCUAAUCCAUGCCGCCGGCCACGGACCUUGUCACCUGGGCAUGGAGCGGGGGACCCACACGUUCCUCGGUGCACGUCACCUCGGGGUGAAGCCGCCACGGCGGCCGGGCUCCUCGGCCCGAACCCGACAGCUCACCUCGUCGGCGUGGAGGAUCACACAU
rnacentral:sRNA from 1 species